GCGCUCGCUCUGUCCGCCCCCCUUUUGCUCCGUUGGUUUGGUAUCGGGUGAAGAAAAUAAACCCACUGCUGCUGCUAACAAACCAGGCUAGUUAUGGAACCGAACCCCGAACACUGGCUCUAAAGGGGGAGUUCCGUUCCUCCUCGAACACGCAUGCGGCGCCUCUGUGUGGGAGAACAGCCCGGCGAGCGCUCGGGCUUUUUCGGACCUCUUCGUUCUUUGAAAAAAAGAAGACCCAGCAGCUAGGGGAGGCUUUCAUUAGCUCUAGCUAACCCGUGCUAACCGUAGCCUGCAGGAACUUCGCAUGGGCUGCGAAUGGGAGAGUAGCCGCCGCCUCCUCCCUCUUCUCCGUCUCCUCUUGCUGCUGCUGCCCGGCUGUUAGGGUUUUCUUUCCGAUUCAUAUGGGAGUGUCGUCGGUGCUUUAAUGGACGCUACCGGAGCCACAGAAAGGCGAACCCCGUGUGCUAGUGUGGUUUCAGCGGCGAACGCCAUCGCGUUAUUAUUGUCGUUAACCUGGGGAGAAUCCUACAGGCGAAGCUAACAGGAUAUUAGCCACCUUUUCUCCGCUUUUGUGGUCGCAGGCCACGGACUGAGAAAAGCCUUCAUCGGUUGACUGGGUGGUGGUGGCGAUGAUGAUGAUGAUGGUGGUGGCGAGGUUGGCAGCUCGUUAUUUAUUGGGAUGCAGCGAUAAUCAGACUCCACUAAACGGAUUAAAAGCGGAGUUUAGUUUGAGUUCAACUCCUGUGUGAGUGUGUGUGUGCUGUUUUUUUUUACUUGAAACUUGAAAUGCAAGGUUUUUCGCACUUGGGAUAGAAGACACGGGAUUAUCUUAAUUAAACUACAGAUUGUUAAUAUAAUGUCUACCGCUAAAGAAAACCCCUGUAGGAAAUUCCAGGCGAACUUCUUCAACAAAAGUAAAUGUCAGAACUGCUUCAAACCUCGGGAGCUGCAUCUGCUCACGGACCAGGAUUUGACCCAGGCGAAACCUAUUUAUGGCGGAUGGUUGUGCUUGGCCCCCGAGGGAACCGACUUCGACAAUCCUAUGCAAAGAUCCCGAAAAUGGCAAAGGAGAUUCUUUGUGCUGUACGAACACGGCUGUCUGCGCUUCGCCCUGGACGAAUCGCCCAGCACGCUGCCUCAGGGCACCGUGAACAUGAACCUCUGCACGGACGUCAUUGACGCCGAGCCCAAGACAGGCCAGAAGAACUCCCUGUGCAUCAUCACGCCAGACCAGGAGUACUUCAUCAGAGGGGAGAAUAAAGAAAUCAUCAAUGGGUGGAGCGAGCAACUGGUGGUUUACCCCCGCACCAACAAACAAAACCAGAAGAAGAAACGUAAGGUGGAGCCCACGACCUCCCAGGAGCCGGGUCCAGCCAAGGUCGCAGUGACAGGCUCUGGAAUCCCAGAGGCAGAGAAGGUUCCAGACUCCAGCUCCAUAAUCUGGCAGGAGGAGCUGAACCAGAGGGAGGCCGAGGGCGCCGCAGUCUGGGCCACUGCCGACGUAACCCCAGGGUCACCACUGCCCUCCACAGGUGACGCUCGUGCGUCUGUUGGCCUUGGUUCAGACGGCGGCUCAGUCAACGGUGACGAGGUGGACCAGGGAAGCCUGACGCUCCACAGCUCGGUGCCGCAGCAGCCGCCGCCGUCGUCCAGCGACCUGCUCUCCCCGACGGGCUCCUGCUCCAGCCUGGGGGGAGUCCCGCGCUGCCUCUCCCCGGCCCCCAGCGACCCCUUCCCCUCGGGCAGCUCCCUUCUCUCCAACGGCUCCCACAUCAGCGGAUCGGUCAGCUCCCUGGACUCGGACGCCAGCGGCAGCACGGUGACCAGCAACGACAGUCACCCGACCUCGCAGCGGGGAGGCCACGCCUACAGCCACCACGACACGCCGCGGUCCAGGCGGCUGGAGGCCGAGGCCAGGAAGGCCGAGAAGAGGAGCAGGUUCAGGAGCCCGGACAGGCAGGAGAGAGAGGCCGUCCUCAGCCCCGAGAGGAGUCGCUCUGGUGUCAUUGAGAAGAUGGAGGCACUGGAGCUGGAGAAUCAGGAGAAAAUGGAGGUGGAGGAGUCGGGGAGGAGUGGAGGCAGACAGGGCCGGAGCGAGCACAGGCGCUUCCAAAGAGAGGAACAGAGACAUGACGCCGGUCAGGGUCUGGACUUCCCCUCCACGCUGCCUCCGCUCAGGAGAGCCAAGUCCUUGGACCGGAGGACGACUGAGUCGGUCAUGACGCCGGAUUUGCUAAACUUUAAGAAAGGUUGGAUGGUGAAGCUGGACGAACAAGGCCAGUGGAAGAAAUACUGGUUUGUGUUGACGGAUCACAGCCUGAGAUACUACAAGGAUUCCAUUGCAGAGGAGGCCUCUGACCUGGAUGGAGAGAUUGACCUCUCUACGUGUUACAACGUCACCGAGUACCCGGCUCAGCGUAACUACGGUUUCCAGAUACAUACCCAGGAGGGCGUGCACACUCUGUCCGCCAUGACGGCAGGAAUACGCAGGAACUGGAUCCAGGCCGUCAUGAAGAACGUCAGACCCUCCACUGCUCCUGACGUGGCGAGCUCCAUCGAGGAUCACGGUUCCUUCACUCCUCUGGAAGGUCUGGUCAGACCCGACGUCACCCAGGACUCCCCUUCUUCAGAGGCCUCUUCCGCUGAGAGAGAGUCCGCUCCCGGUGUUACAAAGAGCCGCGCGCGUGAGCGCAGGCGAGAGGGCCGCUCCAAGACCUUCGACUGGGCGGAGUUCAGGCCCAUCGCACAAGCUCUGGCUCAGCAGCGAGCGCAGGAGGCCGAGAGCCUCCAGGCCGACCUGGGGGAGCUGGAGCGCAUCCGGAGGCGGGAGGAGAGGCGGAAGAGGUACGAGUCGGUGACAAGCACGUCGGGGGAGAACGCGUCUGUCAAAGAAGCGGGGAGGACGGACUACGAGGGCGGAGAGGGAGACCGACACGUGGACUCACUGGGCCCCGCGUCCUUCGAGAAGCACCAGCAGGUGGAGGAGAUGAUCGAGGAACACUGGCGGCAGGUGGAGAAGACGCCUCUACGGGACGAGAGACGGGUGCCGCUGCCCGCCACGGGACAAACAAGAGAGACCACAGAGCUGGAGCAGCUGCUGGACAAUUACAAACAAGGGAUCGAGGACCUGAAGGCUCAGCUGGAGAGCUGUCACCAGCAGCUCCUGGACUCCAACAAGCACAAGCAGGAGCUGGAGCUGCAGCUGAGGACGGCGCUGGACAGAGAGCAGGACAUCCGCACAGGUUACAUCUCACCGCUGGAUCCCGCUUUGGGUCUGGAGGCUGAUGUGUCGCCCCAGGCGAAGAGGCCUGAACUGGUUAGUUCUCAAGCACAGAGUUUAACAAAGAAGUACCAGGAGACCAAAGAGCUCCUGAAACUGCAAGAGCUGAAAAAGCGCAAUAUGCAGGCACAGCUUGGCCUCUCGCUUUCUCACCUCCCUGCCAAGGAACCUUCCUUUCCUGAACCCCAAAAACCACCCGUGUUGGAGGGCCCUCCUCCUGAACCUGUCCAAAAAUCUGUGAGUGUCUUGGUCUUGGACAGCUCAGAGGCAAUUCAAGAGCUAGAAGAUUUAAUUACUGGUAAAUGCCUCACUUUAACGGAGCUGGGAAAAGUGUUGAAAGCCCGUAGUUGUAAUCAAGAGCCGACAGAGAAGCGACAACUUCAGAAGCUCUUGGAGACCUGGAAGUACCAGCAGGAGGUAGAAAAUGAACUGAUCAAAAAGAGUUUAGCCAAGGCGGGAGAAAGCGUCAGAGAGUAUGAAGCUCGUCUUCUCUCCAUGGAGGGUCUGGUGGGGAAAGUCCAGAAGCAAAGUUUUGAAAGUCUGAAAAGCCCCUGUGGUCCCCUGUCAAAAAUCAAAAACCAUUCUGAGACGAAUGAAAUGACAGUCGCGAUGCUCUCUCAGAGGGUUGAACUUUUAACGAAUGACAACGGGGCUUUGAAACAACGAUGUCAGGAAAUAGUGAAUCAGUUGACUGAGGCUGACAGGGAAAUAGACAGGCUGAAAGCCGAGCUGAUCAGUCAGUCUGGUGGCAAACAGCACCAUCUGGUGGUGGAAGAGCUGAAAAGAGUGAAGGCCGAACUUGCCGAAAACCAAGCUACUGCAAUAGACAGGGAAUAUUAUGAGAGGGAGCUGAACGAGAAGUCCAUGAGGCUCCACGAAGCUCUUGUCACGUUGGAGGAGCUUGGUAAUUCCCUGAAAGACACAGAGAAGAAGCUGCAGUUGAAAGAGGCCACACUGAAAGGCCUGGGCUUCCCGACAGAUUAUGAGGACGAGGAGUCGCACCCUGAGAAAGAGCAACUCCAAGAGCUACUGGAAGCCUCGCAUAGACAGAUAUCUGAAAUGGAGGCAAACCUUCAGGCGACAGAGCAGCACUGCCUAGAACUGGAAGCUAGGAACAGUGAACUAAUUGCACUAAACCAGGAAUCUCGGAAAGUCAGUACAGAGAAGGUAGCAGAGGCAGAAAGCGAAAUAAGAAUGCUACAAGAGAAGUUAGAAAUGGAGAAAGGUAGAAAUGAAAUGACAGCAAUUGAAUGCAUUGAGUCAGGAGCAGAGCAGGUUGAUGAUAAAGGACUUACAGAGCAAGUAGUAGAACAGGUUGAGAUGAAGACGAAGGCGAUUCAGCAGGUUGUAGAGAUGUUAGCAAAGGUAGACGUUAAUGUAGAGAGAUUGCUUAGAGGUUUAAAAAGCACUUUAUUCGGUUCUUCGAAAGACGAUCCGCUCUGUUUGAGUCAGAACAACAUGAGGUUGGUAGUCGAGGCAGAGUUCUGGAGCCAGCUGUUGAUUACCUCCGAAAUGAACCCAGGGGAACUUAGUAGUGCCAGAAGUGUGGCAGAAAAGAUGAUUGCACAGAAGCGCUUGAUGAUCUCCAUCAGUGGGGUUUGUCCACAAGCAGAACUUGACGGUGAGGCAGGGACAGAGCUAGAUUUUGCAUUCAUGUACAGUUGGCUUGACAAUGAAACAAAUGCUCUGAUUCUGAAAGAGUUGAGAGAGACGUUAGAGGCAAAGUCAGAUGGUUUGAAGCUAAUUGCAUCCAGGGUGAUGCAGGACAAAGAUGGCGACAUCCUCUCUAUGGUUCUAGCAAGCUUUGAGUUCAGUCAAGAGCAGAAACAGCCCUCUGAAUAUUUGCAUGACGCUCUCAAAGAAGCAUUCAUGACUUAUGUGAUUAUUAGAUCUAAGGUCCAGUGCGAGAAAGAGCUCAAGCUAAGGCAGACCGAAGUUCAGAUUAGUAGCUUUGAUUGUCCAAAUUGUCCUAAAUUAGGAGAAGUUGUCGAUGAUCUCCAGUCUAAACUCGCAGAUCUUCAGAGUCAAAUGUCGGAGGCUUCUUUGAAAAUUGCUUCAGAGCCUCAAACUUUGAUCCAGAUCGAAGGGGAGCCCAUUGACUCAUUGGAUAAAACCAUUGAGCUACAUGACAUGAUAGCAAGGCAUAGGAAGGAGUUAAGAGAGGUCAAAGACCAGUACGAGCAGGAAGUUGAAAAGAUGAGGCAGGAAGUAGCCAAGGCCAGUGAAACUCUGCGUGUCCACUCAGAGGAAAACGUGAAGGAGAUCGACUCGUUGACCAGCUGCAUGGAGAACCUCAAAAAGAAGCAUGAGUUGGAGAGGACAAGCCUUGUGGAGCGGUUUGACCAGGAAAUGGAAGAGCUGAGAAGCAUGAUGAGUCCGGUUGACCCCAACGCGGCCUUGACUGAUGAGGACAAGGCGUCGCAUCAUGCCACGGCCCAAACUUCAACCCUGAAGCAACGCAUUCAAGAGCUGGUGACCCAAGUCUCAGUCAUGACUGAAGAGAUGCGACGACGGGAAGAGCAGGGCGACGCCGCAACUCACCGACUGAAAUACGAGAAAGACCUGGAAAAACUGAAGGCCACGUGUGAGCGAGGCUUCGCCGCCAUGGAGGAGUCCCACCAGAAGGUCAUCGAUGAGCUGCAGAGGAAACACCAGAGGGAGCUGGAGAACCUGCACGAGGAGAAGGAGAGGCUGCUGGCCGAGGAGACGGCGGCCACCAUCGCUGCGAUAGAAGCGAUGAAGAACGCCCAUCGCUCGGAGCUGGAGAAGGAGCUGGACCGAGCUCGCAAGGCCAACAACAACGUGGAGAACGCAGACGUGGAGGAGAUUCAGAGACAGCACGAGGAGGAGCUGUGUUCGCUGCACCGGGAGAUCGAGGUCUUGUCGGAGCAGUAUUCUCAGAAGUGCCUGGAGAACGCCCACCUGGCCCAGGCUCUGGAGGCCGAGAGGCAGGCCCUCAGGCAGUGUCAGAGGGAGAACCAGGAGCUCAACGCGCACAACCAGGAGCUGAACAACCGUCUGGCGGCAGAGAUCACAAAAAUGCGAUCGAUGACGUCGGAGGACGGAGGCUCCGACACCACGAUACCAGGGAAAGAGCUCUACGAGUUUGAGGUGAUGCUCAGGGUGAAGGAGUCUGAGGUUCAGUACCUGAAGCAGGAAAUCAAUUCCCUGAAGGACGAACUGCAAAGUGCUCAAAGAGAUAAGAAAUACGCCACGGACAAGUACAAGGACAUCUACACGGAGCUGAGCAUCGUCAAGGCCAAAGCGGAGCGCGACCUGGGUCGACUCAGAGACCAGCUGCAGCUGGCACACGAGGCGCUCGGCGAGCCGUCGCUGGAGGAGGUGGAGCGGGGGGGAUACGACAUCAUGAAGUCCAAAAGCAACCCCGACAUUCUUAAGAUGGCGGCCGCCGCGGCCAAGCGCUCAGAGCGAACCAUGAGGUCAAAGUCUGAGAGUCAUGAUGAUGAUGAUGAUGAUGAUGAUCCCUAGGACAGUUUGUCCUCAUUGAGGACAUGUAGUCCUCCGUCCUCUUCUUCUUCUUCUUUAGAGUCUGAAGGAAGGACUGACGGCCGAGCAGAGACUCCACCUGUUUGAAAACAAAGACACCAAGGAGUUCUGACGACGACGGCGGCGGCGGCUGCGACGCGCCACGGCUGCAUGUUCACAAGCCCUCACUAUAUUUUAGCUGUGUAAUAAAAAAAAAAAAAAACGUAUUUAGUAACACUACACACUGGUCACAAACACAGAUCAUAUAUUAUGGUAUGAAGUUUGAAUUUCAUGUCUAGAAUUUGCAUUCCAUGCACUUCAGUUAACUGUGACGUUUGUUGUUUUUUUUUGUAUUGAUAAUUGUGUUGCUGCCAUGUCUUACUGUGUAAAUACUGUUUUUAAUUCAUGCGUACACUAAAACUCUGACUGUGUAAGCUACUGUUUUAACUCUCUAGACUGUUGCUCGCCACAAAUGUGAUGUCUGACGACGACGCUGAUGAGCGAGUUAACACUUAACAAAAACCCGCAAGGAAUCAGGAGUCUUUGCGUUCCAAGGUCUGCACGUCAAGCGCUUUCCGUUACCGUGGCGACGCAGGAAGGAAGCUCGGCGGAAAACAAGUUACAGAAGAAAAAUUAUUUGCUCGUCCAGGCGUGGGGGGCGGGGACAAAGUAACCCCCCCCCCCGCCUUCCAUGUCGCUUCACGGCGCCUGACAGUCAUUCUCUUUUAAACCCUCGAGACGCCGCGGCUGAAACGCUUUCGGACGAGAUUCACUGACUAUAAUUUAAAUAUAUAAAUAAUGAAAAUUUAUAUAGAGUUUUCUUGUGUUUUUUUCUCUCUCUCUCUCUCUCUCUCUGUUCUCUGCAAUCAUCAGUCCAGCUGUAAAGGAGUCGUUGGAGGUUUUGUUUGUAGUCUCGUUCAGUGGCAGUCCCUUUUGUAUUUAUUUAAAAUGGUUUUUGUUUUUUUCCUCUCCUCACACAUUCCCAUUCCUCUGUUCUCUAUUAUUGUAAAUAUAAAGCAAAUAUACAUCAACUGACUACAGGUUUAUUAGCAAUAAAUAUUUUUGCACCCUU